UUGCUGUGUGUUUUUGACUACCAUGGCCACGAUCGUAUCGGCCUGAGAGGAUGAGCAGCCACACUGGGACUGAGACACGGCCCAACUCCUACGGGAGGCAGCAGUGGGGAAUUUUCCGCAAUGGGCGAAAGCCUGACGGAGCAAUACCGCGUGAGGGAGGAAAGGCUCUUGGGUUGUAAACCUCAAAACUUAGGGAAGAAGAAAGUGACGGUACCUAAUCUAAGCAUCGGCUAACUCCGUGCCAGCAGCCGCGGUAAUACGGAGGAUGCAAGCGUUAUCCGGAAUCAUUGGGCGUAAAGCGUCCGUAGGUGGCCUUUCCAGUCUACUGUUAAAGACCGAAGCUCAACUUCGGAAAGGGGGUAGAAACUGAAAAGCUAGAGUAAAGUAGGGGUAGAGGGAAUUCCUAUGUGUAGCGGUGAAAUGCGUAGAGAUUAGGAAGAACACCAGUGGCGAAGGCGCUCUACUGGGCUUAUACUGACACUGAGGGACGAAAGCUAGGGUAGCGAAAGGGAUUAGAUACCCCUGUAGUCCCUAGCGGUAAACGAUGGAUACUAGGUGUAGUCUGUAUCGGACCCGGACUGUGCCGAAGCAAACGCSUUAAGUAUYCCGCCUGGGGAGUACGCACGCAAGUGUGAAACUCAAAGGAAUUGACGGGGACCCGCACAAGCGGUGGAGUAUGUGGUUUAAUUCGAUGCAACGCGAAGAACCUUACCAAGUCUUGACAUCCUACGAAUCAGACGGAAACCUGUGAGUGCCUAAGGGAACAUAGAGACAGGUGGUGCAUGGCUGUCGUCAGCUCGUGUCGUGAGAUGUUGGGUUAAGUCCCGCAACGAGCGCAACCCUCGUCCUUAGUUGCCAGCAUUAAGUUGGGGACUCUAGGGAGACCGCCGGGGAGAACUCGGAGGAAGGUGGGGAUGACGUCAAGUCAGCAUGCCCCUUACGACUUGGGCCACACACGUACUACAAUGGAGAGGACAAAGGGAAGCGAACCUGCAAAGGGCAGCGAAUCCAAGCAAACCUCUCCCCAGUUCAGAUCGGAGGCUGAAACUCGCCUCCGUGAAGGAGGAAUCGCUAGUAAUCGCAGGUCAGCAUACUGCGGUGAAUCCGUUCCCGGGUCUUGUACACACCGCCCGUCACACCAUGGAAGUUGGUCACGCC
rnacentral:rRNA from 1 species